UACAGAGGUCCCAAGCGUUGUUCGGAUUCACUGGGCGUAAAGGGUGCGUAGGCGGUCUGGUAAGUCUGACGUGAAAUCUCCGGGCCUAACCCGGAAACUGCGUCGGAUACUAUUCGGCUAGAGGAUUGGAAGGGAGACUGGAAUACUUGGUGUAGCAGUGAAAUGCGUAGAUAUCAAGUGGAACACCAGUGGCGAAGGCGAGUCUCUGGACAAUUCCUGACGCUGAGGCACGAAAGCCAGGGGAGCAAACGGG
rnacentral:rRNA from 1 species